UGGGGAAUCUUGCGCAAUGGGAGCAAUCCUGACGCAGCAACGCCGCGUGGGUGAUGAAGGUCUUCGGAUCGUAAAGCCCUGUCGGAGGGGAAGAUGCUUGGUGUCGCUAAUAUCGGCAUCAGGUGACGGUACCCUCAAAGGAAGCACCGGCUAACUCUGUGCCAGCAGCCGCGGUAAUACAGAGGGUGCAAGCGUUGUUCGGAAUUAUUGGGCGUAAAGGGAGUGUAGGCGGUUUUCUAAGUCUUCUGUGAAAUCUACGGGCUUAGCCUGUAACGUGCAGAGGAAACUGGAAGGCUUGAGUGUCGGAGAGGAUAGGGGAAUACCCAGUGUAGAGGUGAAAUUCGUAGAGAUUGGGUGGAACACCAGUGGCGAAGGCGCCUAUCUGGCUGACAACUGACGCUGAGACUCGAAAGCAUGGGGAGCAAACAGG
rnacentral:rRNA from 1 species